UAAAGCGUGCGCAGGCGGUUUUGUAAGACUGUCGUGAAAUCCCCGGGCUCAACCUGGGAAUGGCGAUGGUGACUGCAAGGCUAGAGUUUGGCAGAGGGGGGUAGAAUUCCACGUGUAGCAGUGAAAUGCGUAGAUAUGUGGAGGAACACCGAUGGCGAAGGCAGCCCCCUGGGUCAAAACUGACGCUCAUGCACGAAAGCGUGGGGAGCAAACAGGAUUAGAUCCCCAGU
rnacentral:rRNA from 1 species